AGCUCUACGGAAUAACUCAGGGAAACUUGAACUAAUACCGUAUGCGCCCUUCGGGGGAAAGAUUUAUCGGAGUUGGAUGAGCCCAUGUCUGAUUAGCUAGUUGGUGGGGUAAAGGCCUACCAAGGCGACGAUCAGUAGCUGGUCUGAGAGGAUGAUCAGCCACACUGGGACUGAGACACGGCCCAGACUCCUACGGGAGGCAGCAGUGGGGAAUAUUGGACAAUGGGGGCAACCCUGAUCCAGCCAUGCCGCGUGAGUGAUGAAGGCCCUAGGGUUGUAAAGCUCUUUCACCGGUGAAGAUAAUGACGGUAACCGGAGAAGAAGCCCCGGCUAACUUCGUGCCAGCAGCCGCGGUAAUACGAAGGGGGCUAGCGUUGUUCGGAAUUACUGGGCGUAAAGCGCGCGUAGGCGGAUCGGUCAGUUAGGGGUGAAAUCCCGGGGCUCAACCCCGGAACUGCCUCUAAUACUGCCGAUCUAGAGUUCGAGAGAGGUGAGUGGAAUUCCGAGUGUAGAGGUGAAAUUCGUAGAUAUUCGGAGGAACACCAGUGGCGAAGGCGGCUCACUGGCUCGAUACUGACGCUGAGGUGCGAAA
rnacentral:rRNA from 1 species